AGACCCGAAACCCGGUGAUCUAGCCAUGGGCAGGUUGAAGGUUGGGUAACACUAACUGGAGGACCGAACCGACUAAUGUUGAAAAAUUAGCGGAUGACCUGUGGCUGGGGGUGAAAGGCCAAUCAAACCGGGAGAUAGCUGGUUCUCCCCGAAAGCUAUUUAGGUAGCGCCUCGUGAAUUCAUCUCCGGGGGUAGAGCACUGUUUCGGCUAGGGGGCCAUCCCGGCUUACCAACCCGAUGCAAACUGCGAAUACCGGAGAAUGUUAUCACGGGAGACACACGGCGGGUGCUAACGUCCGUCGUGAAGAGGGAAACAACCCAGACCGCCAGCUAAGGUCCCAAAGUCAUGGUUAAGUGGGAAACGAUGUGGGAAGGCCCAGACAGCCAGGAUGUUGGCUUAGAAGCAGCCAUCAUUUAAAGAAAGCGUAAUAGCUCACUGGUCGAGUCGGCCUGCGCGGAAGAUGUAACGGGGCUAAACCAUGCACCGAAGCUGCGGCAGCGACAC
rnacentral:rRNA from 8 species